AAGUCGCACGAGAAAACAGUAGCAAUACUGUGAGUACAGUGGCGUACGGGUGAGUAACACGUGGAUCAUCUACCUUCUAGUGGGGAAUACCCCCGGGAAACUGGGGACAAUACCGCAUAAGCUCGUAAGAGGAAAGCAGCAAUGCGCUGGAAGAGGAGUCCGCGGCUGAUUAGCUAGUUGGCGGGGUAACGGCCCACCAAGGCGAAGAUCGGUAGCCGGCCUGAGAGGGCACACGGCCACACUGGCACUGAAACACGGGCCAGACUCCUACGGGAGGCAGCAGUGGGGAAUCUUGCACAAUGGAGGAAACUCUGAUGCAGCGACGCCGCGUGAGCGAUGAAGCCCUUCGGGGUGUAAAGCUCUUUCGACGGGAACGAUAAUGACGGUACCCGAAGAAGAAGCUGCGGCUAACUACGUGCCAGCAGCCGCGGUAAUACGUAGGCAGCAAGCGUUGUUCGGAAUUACUGGGCGUAAAGAGUGUGUAGGCGGUGUUCUAAGUUUGUCGUGAAAUCUCCCGGCUUAACUGGGAGGGUGCGGCGAAAACUGGAAUGCUAGAGGAUGGGAGAGGUAAGCGGAAUUCCUGGUGUAGCGGUGAAAUGCGUAGAUAUCAGGAGGAACACCUGUGGUGUAGACAGCUUACUGGACCAUUUCUGACGCUGAGACACGAAAGCGUGGGUAGCAAACAGGAUUAGAUACCCUGGUAGUCCACGCCCUAAACGAUGCAUACUUGGUGUGAGCGAUUCAUUUCGUUCGUGCCGGAGCUAACGCGUUAAGUAUG
rnacentral:rRNA from 1 species